AAUCAACGCUGGCGGCGUGCCUCAGACAUGCAAGUCGAACGAUUAAAGCUCUCUUCGGAGAGUGUAUAGAGUGGCGCACGGGUGAGUAACACGUAAGUAAUCUACCUUUGAGUGGGGAAUAACAGUCGGAAACGGCUGCUAAUACCGCAUAAUGCAGCGGCACCGCAAGGUGACAGUUGUUAAAGAGCAAUCCGCUUAAAGAGGAGCUUGCGGCAGAUUAGCUAGUUGGUAAGGUAAUGGCUUACCAAGGCUACGAUCUGUAACCGGUCUUAGAGGACGGUCGGUCACACUGACACUGAAUAACGGGUCAGACUCCUACGGGAGGCAGCAGUCGGGAAUUUUGGGUCAAUGGGCGAAAGCCUGACCCAGCAACGCCGCGUGAAGGAUGAAGUAUUUCGGUAUGUAAACUUCGAAAGAAUAGGAAGAAUUAAUGACGGUACUAUUUAUAAGGUCCGGCUAACUACGUGCCAGCAGCCGCGGUAAGUGACGUCAGA
rnacentral:rRNA from 1 species